AGCGCUGGGGGGCAGAGGAGCGGAGUUAAGGCAGAAGCCAGUCAGGAUGGUGGUGCCUUCGCUGAAGCUUCAGGACCUCAUCGAAGAGAUUCGCGGGGCCAAGACUCAGGCCCAGGAGCGGGAGGUGAUCCAAAAGGAGUGUGCCCACAUCCGGGCCUCCUUCCGCGACGGGGACCCAGUGCACAGGCACCGGCAGCUGGCCAAACUGCUCUACGUCCACAUGUUGGGCUACCCCGCCCACUUUGGACAGUGACCUGAGCCAGGGGAUUCAGCCAGUACAAGGCCUGGCCUUGUGCACUUUGAGCACCAUGGGCUCUGCUGAGAUGUGCCGAGACCUGGCCCCAGAAGUGGAGAAACUGCUCCUGCAGCCCAGUCCCUACGUGCGCAAGAAGGCUAUUCUGACUGCAGUGCACAUGAUCCGGAAGGUCCCUGAACUCUCCAGUGUCUUCCUCCCACCCUGUGCUCAACUGCUUCAUGAGCGUCACCAUGGUAAGGCUGUGGGGCUCCCCAUCCUUUGCUUCAGCUCUAUGGACAGAAGAAUUGAAAAUCGGAUGGGAACCCCAGCUCACAGGAGAAGGGUAGUGCACACACACAGGCACACACGCAAUAGACUCUCUUGCCCCUGGCCCCCACCAUUCACUUCCCCGACCCUGACCCCAGGCAUCCUGCUGGGCACCAUCACGCUGAUCACGGAGCUCUGCGAACGAAGCCCUGCAGCCCUCAGGCACUUCCGAAAGGUGGUACCCCAGCUGGUACAGAUCCUCCGGACUCUGGUGACAACGGGAUACUCCACAGAACACAGCAUAUCUGGAGUCAGCGACCCCUUCCUGCAGGUGGGGUGACCUUUCACUGCUGUAUCCCUGGAUCAGAGAGGGCAUAGCAGUAAGACCAUGACCAGUGGUUUCCUCCCAGAGAACACUGGUUCUCUCAGUGUCCUGGGCAGCAGAGUAGCAGGCACAGGAUUGCUCAGGUCAUCUUAGGACCUGUGAGGGGAGAGGGAAUGCCUAAAAGUCAGGAAAAUACAGUUUGGUAACAAUUUUUUUAAGCCUGUCCUAAACUCCCCUGGCCUCACACACCUCUGUUCCCCUCCCACGACCAAGGGACCUAUGGAGGUGAGGAGGUGGGGGAAGACUCUAGGGAGCGAGCCAGACCCUCACAGUGCUGUCCUCCAUGUUGGAGUUUUCUCCUCAGCCCCGUGACUUGUUAUCCUAUGAACCCCUCCAACUUUCCAUUUUCAACCCAACCUCAGGUCCAGAUACUUCGUCUGCUUCGGAUCCUGGGCCGGAACCAUGAGGACAGCAGUGAGACCAUGAAUGACUUGCUGGCCCAGGUGGGGCCUGGGAGGGCACUGGUUAGCUGUGUUGCUUGGAGACCCCACCAGCCCUGGGUGCCCCUCACAUGACUCCUCACUGUGCAGUGGCCAUAUAAUUGCCUCUCCAUCUCCUCUAGACAGUGAACUCCAUGAA
rnacentral:sRNA from 1 species